ACUUUGAUUAUGGCUCGGGACGAACGCUGGCGGCGCGCCUAACACAUGCAAGUCGAGCGGGAAGCUUUUUAAGGAUUCUUCGGAUGAAUUAAAAAGUGGAGAGCGGCGGACGGGUGAGUAACGCGUGAGAAACCUGCCCUAUACAGGGGGAUAGCCAUUGGAAACGAUGAUUAAUACCCCAUAUGACCACAGUAUCGCAUGAUACAGCGGUGAAAACUCCGGUGGUAUAGGAUGGUCUCGCGUCUGAUUAGCUAGUUGGUGGGGUAACGGCCUACCAAGGCGACGAUCAGUAGCCGGCCUGAGAGGGUGACCGGCCACACUGGAACUGAGACACGGUCCAGACUCCUACGGGAGGCAGCAGUGGGGAAUAUUGCACAAUAGGCGAAAGCCUGAUGCAGCGACGCCGCGUGAACGAUGAAGGCUUUCGAGUCGUAAAGUUCUGUUCUUGGGGAAGAUAACGACGGUACCCAAGGAGAAAGCACCGGCUAAAUACGUGCCAGCAGCCGCGGU
rnacentral:rRNA from 1 species